GAGCUAUUCGCUCAGUGGUAGAGCGCGCCCCUGAGAAGGGCGAGGUCUCUGGUUCAAGUCCAGGAUGGCC
rnacentral:tRNA from 1 species